rnacentral:rRNA from 1 species
ACUCCUACGGGAGGCAGCAGUGAGGAAUAUUGGUCAAUGGAGGGAACUCUGAACCAGCCAUCCCGCGUGUAGGAAGACGGCCUUAUGGGUUGUAAACUACUUUUAUACAGGAAGAAACGUACCCUCGUGAGGGUGCCUGACGGUACUGUAGGAAUAAGCACCGGCUAACUCCGUGCCAGCAGCCGCGGUAAUACGGAGGGGUGCGAGCGUUAUCCGGAUUUAUUGGGGUUUAAAGGGGUCCGUAGGCGGAUUAAUAAGUCAGUGGUGAAAUCCCAUCGCUUAACGAUGGAACUGCCAUUGAUACUGUUAGUCUUGAAUGAGGGUGCAGUGGUUGGAAUGUGUAGUGUAGCGGUGAAAUGCAUAGAUAUUACACAGAACACCGAUUGCGAAGGCAGAUCACUAACCCUAAAAUUGACGCUGAGGGACGAAAGCGUGGGGAGCGAACAGGAUUAGAUACCCUGGUAGCGACUGA